GCCUAAUUCCCCAAAUUUAAAACCAUUCAAUAUUAUUGUGCACAACAUUCAAUAUUGUGCACACCUAUCAUUGAAGAUUGAAAACGUAUAGAAGAGCAUUAAAUACCAAUUGCAAUUCUCUCUGCAAACAACAAUAGAAACCUCCGCCUUUCUCCGGUGCCGGAUUAGACGGUGUCGGAGGCGUCUCUCCUAGCCUUUAGUCCUCGUCUUUGUUUGCUCUCUGCUUCUGGUUCCUCUCCUCCGUCCAAGAUGCAAGGGGCUCUGGUUUCUUCCGACUUCACCUCUCCAGCGAUCUGCUCAUGAGGUUUCGUUCGGUUGUGGAGUUCGUCAGUCUUUGGAGUCCUGGCGAGGCGUGUAAGGUUGGUCAGUUCAGGGAGUCGGUUUUUAGGGUUUGAGGUUUGUCAGAUCUCGUUUUCCGUUUGGAGAUCUCCGGUGUUCCUCUCCGUUAGGCGGCGCGUGAAUCUGUUGAGGAUGUUUCUCUCACCGGCCUCGGUGUGUUAUAGCUCUAUCCGUCGUUUGAAGGGCCGGUGCAGGAGGUGGUGGCGCGUGAGAAGUUCUGUCUCUUGGUGUCUUUCGACGGAGUCUCAUCCCGCCGGUAUCGUUCUAGCUUAUUCCCUUUGCUGCUGUCUUUCAAUCCCGAGUGUCGUAGUUCUAGGUCUUGUUGUCUUUGUUGUAGGUUUCGGUGUUGUUGUUGUUAUUUUUGUCUGUGUUAGUGGCUUGUCUUUGUGGUAUUUGUGUUGGUUGGUUGUUGUUUAGUUCUCAGUUGGUUUGCUGUCAUAGCUUGGUCUUUAAAAAUUUUCCUUAGUGUGUUGGUGGGUUUUUUGAAUCCGUUAGUGGUGGUAGUGUUAAAGCGUGGUGAGAGUUGGGUUAGCAGAGGUUAUUCGUAGAGUGGUGGGUGCAGUGAUCGCUUUUCGGUUCUCAGGAUGUGGUUCUGGAGGGUCCGUAUGGUAAGGCCUCGUCUUAGUUGAGUUUGUAUCUGGGCUUCUAUCUAUGAGUAAGUGGGCGCGAUGUGCGUCGCACCAUUAUCUGAAGGCAAUGUGGACCGUGUAGCGGUUCUUCCUGUCGUGUCAUGAAGUCGCAGGGUUUGAGUUCUUGGGCGUUAUCGUUUUGCGUGCGUGUAGCAGCAGCGAUAAGUCAUGGUGCAGGAGGUGAAAUUUUCCGCGUGGCGAGCUAUAGCCAGCAGCAGCUGCAAUUUCCGAUCAUUGGCCUCUACAAAAAUUUAAAAUCUGCUAAUUAUCUUUUCAUUCGCUCGGGUUGCUUAGCCUUAUCUAGUGUCGGUUUUGGUUUCUUGGUAUUGUAAGCUUCCCCGGUGUGGGUUUAAGUAGCCGCCUUUAUGUGGGCUUUUGUGGAUGGAGAUUGUUCAUUCAUCUCCGAGUUUAUGUUUUGAGUCACCCUUGUGUGGGUUCUUGUAGCCAUUUCUAUAUGGGCUCUUGUGUGUUUCUUUUGAAUGAAAUAAAUUACUUUUUCGUGGAAAAAAAAAAUAUUGUGCACACCUAUCAUUAAUCUAUUAAUAUAAAGAAAGACCAUUCCCUCAUUUUCUUUCAUCCACGUCAGAUAAUAGUGUUACCAACGAUCGACACGUGUCCAAAACACAAAUCCGUUGCGUUUCAUUAAACUUUCAGUUACAUGGUUUUUAAUUUGAUUUGGGCCUUACAUUUGUCCAAUUUGGCUAGCCAUCAAUGAUUCAGCUUCUUGCUAACGCUCUAUACCAGUUACAGAAUCCCCAUCUUUAAAGUCAUUCUUAAAUCAUCACCCACUAUCUUUCUUGAAUGCGAUCCUCUUCAUGUGAGUCGGUGGAACUUUAAUUAUAAAAGGAAAAUGGCUAAGGCAGCAAUCUUCCUUUCCGAUCUGACCGGACGAUGCUCCUCCACCCUUCAAGUCCGGUUGCUCCACUUCUGGGAAGCCAAGAACGCCUGACGCGGCGGCGAACUCAUUGAGUCGACAUGUUUCUGCUUGAGAUUUAUAGGAACUUAUGCCCGGAAUAUGGAAGACCUUGAUAGUACACCGAGGCUGAAAGCUAGCUUUAAUUUGUAGAAAGAACGCUGAGGUAGACACAUCUGCCUUCCAUUGCACCAACUACACUCAGUGAGAAUACAUUUCCCCUGCAAAAUUUUCUUUUUCCCUUUGCGAACUAAGCCCUAAAAUAAAAAAAAAUAAAAAAUGCACAAUGGAAUCCAUUGGUUUGAUUCACUUUUGUACAUAAUUUUUCUAUUCUCUGUGGAUUUAAAGGUUCAUUUUUUGGUUUAGCGAGCACGUGAUCGUAUCUUUGUCUACGAAACUGGUGCCACAAAACAUGUUCCCAGAGCUCCAUUUAUUGAUCUCGAGCCCACUGUUAUCAAUGAAGUCCGUAGGAGAACUUACCGUCAGCUUUUCCAUCCUGAGCAGCUAACCUCUGGAAACAACUUGGCGGAAGACAAUUAUACUGGUGAGGAAACUUUACAUGGAGAAUUUUUAGAUUCAUGUAUUGUUUUUACAUGCAUCAUUUUCAGAUUUAAAAAUCCAUGCGGACAUAAUCACUAGGUGUUUCAUGCAGAGAUAAUUAUCUCCUAAUUAUUUACUAAUACAUAUAUUUUUAAUUUUAAAUAGAACAUCAAAUUAUUUGUAUAUGACAAAAUUUCUAACAAAAUAAAUCAUUGAAAACACUGAAUAUCCGAUUUUAUAAUAUGAAAUCAAACCACAUCUAGAAUUCAAGUAACCUUUUAAAACCUCAUUAUAACGUAAAUACCAAAACAAACAACUGUUUAUAAUAGUAAUUACUAAGAUUGUCCAAAACAACUAUAAUAACUUUGAUAGAGAGUUUCUCUAAAUUAAAACUUCAUUCUCCACUAUUUAUAAACACUCACGGAAAAAAAUAUAUUAGAAAAAUCGAUCUCAUUUUCUUUUGAUCGAAUCCGAUUGAUUUAUGUAUUUUAUAGUAUUAUAAAACUGAAAACACUAUAAAAACUUACAAUUUAAGAUUAAAACAGCAAAAAUAUUAAAAAAUCUAUUAUUUUUAGUUAUAUAGUUGAAAUUUGGUGUAUACAACAUAAUCAUACUUAUACCCAACUUAACAUAAAAGAAAAUUGACACAAAAUUAUAUAUUUUAUAAAAUCCGAUCUAUCAAAUCCCGCCCGCCCUACGGGCCUAUACUAGUAAAAAGUAAAAAAUGCUAUAAUCCAUAGGACGCGUCCAUAUAGGCUUUAAAACCACCAAUAAAAAUAUGUAAAAUCAAAUUAAAUGUUAAUAUUUCCAAAAAUGUAUAGUAUCUAAUAAAUUAGGCUAAUUAAAAAAUUAUUAGCAUUUAAAAUGUUAUGAUUUCCAAAUUAAUGUAUAUUAACAGAAAAUAUAAGUAGUAAUACUUAAUUAUCAUUUAUUCAGAGGUAUAGGGGGCUUUAUUCGUUACAGACGGUGGGAAGUUUGGCCCGGAUCGCUUUCACUGACCCUUUCGCCACUGACUCACCUAGCGACGAAGACAACCACGAGUGAAACGUUACGUGGAAAAAAUUAAAUAUAAAAUAUAAAAAUGGAAAAACUAAAUUAAAUAUCUAUCUGAAAACUAUGUAUAAAAAACAAUAUAAGAAAUAGAAAUAUCACAUUAAACAUUUUUCAUAAUAUUAAAAUAAAUAAAUAUACAAUAUAAGAAAUAAAAAACUACAUUAAACAUCUAUCUGAAAAUUGUAUACUAAAAUAAAUAAUAAAUAAAUAUACAGUUU